rnacentral:rRNA from 1 species
AAGGCUGAUGGAGCAACGCCGCGUGAGUGAUGAAGGUUUUCGGAUCGUAAAACUCUGUUGUAAGGGAAGAACCACUAUGUCAGGCAAUGGACGUUCCUUGACGGUACCUUAUUAGAAAGCUACGGCUAACUACGUGCCAGCAGCCGCGGUAAUACGUAGGUGGCAAGCGUUGUCCGGAAUUAUUGGGCGUAAAGAGCUUGUAGGCGGUCCGUCACGUCGGAAGUGAAAACUCAGGGCUUAACCCUGAGCCUGCUGUCGAUACGGGCAGACUUGAGGGAUGUAGGGGAGAACGGAAUUCCUGGUGGAGCGGUGGAAUGCGCAGAUAUCAGGAGGAACACCAGUGGCGAAGGCGGUUCUCUGGACAUUUCCUGGCGCUGAGAAGCGAAAGCGUGGGGAGCAAACA